rnacentral:rRNA from 1 species
GCCAGACUCCUACGGGAGGCAGCAGUGGGGGAUAUUGCACAAUGGGGGGAACCCUGAUGCAGCGACGCCGCGUGGGUGAAGAAGCGCCUCGGCGCGUAAAGCCCUGUCAGCAGGGAAGAAAAUGACGGUACCUGACUAAGAAGCCCCGGCUAACUACGUGCCAGCAGCCGCGGUAAUACGUAGGGGGCAAGCGUUAUCCGGAUUUACUGGGUGUAAAGGGAGCGUAGGCGGUGAUGCAAGUCAGAAGUGAAAGCCCGCGGCUCAACUGCGGGACUGCUUUUGAAACUGUAUGACUAGAUUGCAGGAGAGGUAAGUGGAAUUCCUAGUGUAGCGGUGAAAUGCAUAGAUAUCACGCAGAACCCCGAUUGCGAAGGCAGCCUUCCGGCGCCCUACUGACGCUGAGGCACGAAAGUGCGGGGAUCGAACAGGAUUAGAUACCCCUGUAA